CAGCUGCCCGCCCCCACCAAGCCCUCACCGAACCCCUUCGUUUUUGUGUCCCAUCUCGCUCUCGCCUCCCUCCUCCGCCAAAUCCCCAAAUCGCAGCCCCCCGAUCCGCCGCCGUCCCCGAUUCCCCACCGCCGUUGACCGCGCAAAUGACCUCCGGCCCGCCGUCGCCUUCCGGCAAGGCCUACUCCCGCAAAUCCGGCCCCAAAUCCUCCAAGCCGUCCGCCGCCCGCUCCCUGGACGCUCACAAUGGCUCCGUGAUCCCCACCGUCACCUUCCCCUUCCCCUCCUCGCCGGCAGCGCGGCGGGAGCUCCGCCGCCGCCUCUCCUCCGAGCUCUCCCAGGUGCGCGGCGCCUACAAGCGCAUAAACUCCCUCCCCAACGCGCCCGCGCCCUCCUCCGCGCUCUCCGCCACUGACCCCUCCACCCCGCUCCCGCCGCACCCCAAGCACAAGUCGUCCAAGAAGGCCCCGCCGAACCCGGCUGGUUCCGCGGAGGCGCGGCGCAAGCUCUACGCGCCCGUCUUCAAGAGCUGCGCCUUGCUGCUCGCCAGGCUCAUGAAGCACAAGCACGGCUGGGUGUUCAACGUGCCCGUCGACGCCAGCGCGCUCGGCCUGCACGACUACCACACCAUCAUCGUCAAGCCCAUGGACCUCGGCACCGUCAAGCAGCGGCUCGCCGAGGGGCACUACAAGUCCCCCCGCGACUUCGCGACCGAAGUCCGCCUCACUUUCCAGAACGCCAUGAAGUACAACCCCAAGGGGCAGGACGUGUACUUCAUGGCCGAGCAGCUUCUGAACAUGUUCGAGGAGAAGUGGCCGGAGAUUGAAGCCGAGAUAGCUCAGCUGUCGCCGCAGCCGCCGACACCGUCAUCGGCUGCACCACCCAAGAAGCCGAGGGAGAUGGAGAAUUCUAGGGUGUUAGAGAGGUCUGACUCCACGGCGCAUCCUGCGGGACUGGAGGCUACCCCAAAGCAGCAAACUGGCACUGGCACUGGCAGACCCCCGGUUUUAAAGAAGCCCAAGGCAAGGGAACCUAAUAAGAGGGAGAUGACCUUCUGGGAGAAGCAGCGGCUUAGUAACGACCUCCAGGACUUGCCAGCCGAGAAGCUUGACAAUGUUGUGCAAAUCAUAAAGAAGAGGAACUCGUCGCUCAAUCAGCAUGAUGACGAGAUCGAGGUUGAUAUAGAUAGCUUCGAUGUAGAGACAUUGUGGGAACUUGAUAGAUUUGUGACGAAUUACAAGAAAAGUAUAACCAAGAAUAAGCGCAAGGCGGAGCUCUCCGUGGCAAGGCAGGAUGAGUCCGAGCAUGAGCCAGAUUUGGAGAAGAUUGAGCAUGCAAGGCAGGAUAUAGAGGGAGAACAGGAUCAGAUGAUCAAUGCACAACAGACGUUACAGAUACCGGAACCAGAAGCAGUUGAUGUGGUAGAUGUUGAACCACCUAUGGUUGAUGCUGAACCAUCCAAGGAAAUUGCAGCAGAUGACAAUGGGAGGUAUGUCGGUUCAUCAUCACCUGCCCAUUUGGAAGAUCAGAAAGGAGAAAAUGCCGGUAGAUCAAGUAGUUCUGGAAGCUCUAGCAGCGAGUCAGGGUCUUCCUCCAGCGAUACAGAUUCCGAUAGUUCAUCGGCAGAUGGUUCUGAUGCUGCACAGUCACCCAAAUCGUAACAUCGAUAGGCCAGCUGUGUGAAACCACUGGCCGCUCCUUACUCCACUGGAUGCUUCGGAUCCUUUAAUAGACACAAGAAGUCAGUCUCGCCCACUGGAUCCCCUCCUGCAGCGCGACGCGACCACCUCGACAAGGAGGCAUUGAGACUGCCAUUGAGCAUGCAGUGAUGCUGCUAAGGCUGGCAAUCGGGUCGGGGUGCACCUGGUUGACCUUUGCUAGACCCAUGCCCGAGUACCUAGUCAGGUAUGUGGCAUGCCCACGACCCUGCCCAUGGGUCAUUUUUCAGACACAUGUCCGAACCCGUUGGGCAACCCAAUCCAAUCGGGCACCCAUCUGGUCUAACGUCUGUCUUUAUUUUUCGUUUCACAAUCUGCACCAACGUCUAAUUUUGGUUGGUUUGGUGCAUCUCCUCAUGUUCAGCUGACCCCUCCUCAUGUCUUUGAUAGCAGAAUUGGACCUACUGUCAGCUUGAGCGAGCGAAGUGGGACUGAAGAAGCUCCAGCUUCUAUACUCGUUUGUUGUCGCUCAUGUAAAAGAGCACAUGUGGUAGCUGGGUUGCCUUAAGAGGCCCAAUAGACCAAUAUGGUGCACCGCCAGGUCUUUUCGGCUCUCAUUUAAUUUACUUGUGGACCGGAAUCAAUCUAGAGCAAGCGAAAGCAGCUCAAGGUCAACAUGCAUGCAUCGCUAUUGACAAAGCACCAUCUAGGCAGUUACAUGAUAAUUAGCUUACAUAUUCACAAAAUUAAGUCCGCAUAUCAUAUAAAAUAUAAAAUAUGAAAAUAUUUAAUAACUAAUAUUAAGCGGGCGACCCAUCGGGUCACCCACGGGCGCUCCGUCGUAAUCAUACCCUACCCAUUAAUAAUCGGGUCACCCAUGGGCACAACCCGGGCCCAUGGGCGAUGAUGACCCAUACACUACCCAUUGGGGCCGGGUCCCAUGGGUGGACGAACCCAUGGGUCAAAUUGCCGGCCUUAGAUGCUAUACCGGUGCUACUUAAUCCCACACACCUUGCCGCCGAUGCCACUCAAAUCGACCAAGGGAAAGGAGUGCAGGCUCUUGCUGACCUCCGCUCGGUGCGAUGUAGGCGGUAAGGGUAGGCCAACUGGGUCGUCCCGACCGCUCUCACAUUGGGCUACAGGAACUCAGGGAGGGGGUAAUGGUGCGAUGAUGGAGCUCGCUGAAGCACAAUCUCCCGGCCUGUAGAUCUGGAUGGAGGUACAAGGGGGUGCGAUGCAGGGCCUCCACACAGGUCCGGUGAUGAUGAGGCCUCCACGCAGAUCUGGCAACGGCGAGCGACCACGGAGGUCGAGACUGAACUUGAUGGGAGGUGGAGGAAAAAGACAUGUCAAUGGAGAGGGUUGGAGACUUGGAGGCCAGAGGUGGCAGGAAAAGGGGGAUUGGAGCAGACGGGGAUGCGAGGCGACAGGCAGCAGGGGAUCGUGGGAUCUUAACUUCAGACAGAAGAUGAUAACUUGUAAGUUCACCAAAGAUUGUGGCACCAUAUGGUCGACAAGAUUCGAUGUUGCCGUCUGUAAAUUUUGGCCAUGUAGGGAAGCCUAAUUGUUGCUGCUGUCUGUGUUGCUGUUUGGCCUUUGUUAGCCUCAUAGUUGAUGCCGGAGCCCGCGCAUGCAUUUCAUGCGUCUGUACCAUUAUUUGCAGUUAUGUACUUAUUGUAGAGUGCUGCGUUUACCUAGUCAUUGCGCUGGAAGUUACCCUAACAUUGGACAGAAGAACCUGCAAAUCAGGCAGUAAAGACAGCCGGUGAAGAAGACCAGGAACCUGGAGAGCUCUCACCCUGUUGUAAGAUUGUAAAAUUGUUAUAGUUGGGUAAUCUCGUUUGUUCUAUUUUGGAACUAGCUAGUCUGUAAUUUAUGUUGUGUUGGAUUAGCGUGGAUAAUCUUUCGGGUGGUACUGGUUGCUAUAAGAUCUCUGCACACGUGUUUGAGCUGAAACAUUAGAUAGAAUCUGUCUGGCUGUCAUUUAUUUCCA